UACGUAGGGGGCAAGCGUUGUCCGGAUUUAUUGGGCGUAAAGCGCACGCAGGCGGUCUCUUAAGUUUCGAGUGACAGGUGAGGGCUUAACCCUUGCAGGCCUUGGAAAACUGGGAGACUUGAGGACGAGAGAGGGACGCGGAAUUCCAGGUGGAGCGGUGAAAUGCGUAGAGAUCUGGAAGAACACCAAAGGGCGAAGGCAGCGUCCUGGCUCGUAUCUGACGC
rnacentral:rRNA from 1 species